UACGUAGGGUGCGAGCGUUAAUCGGAAUUACUGGGCGUAAAGCGUGCGUAGGCGGUUCGUUAUGUCUGCUGUGAAAGCCCCGGGCUUAACCUGGGAAUGGCAGUGGAAACUGGCGGGCUUGAGUGUGGCAGAGGGGGUGGAAUUCCGCGUGUAGCAGUGAAAUGCGCAGAUAUCGGGAAGAACACCCGUGGCGAAGGCGGCUCUCUGGGACGGUACUGACGCUGAGACGCGAAAGCGUGGGGAGCGAACGAGG
rnacentral:rRNA from 1 species